CCACUGAUCCAUCUUUCUCUUUGGAGUUUGGAUCUCCAUCGUUUCAGAAGCGCUCAAUUUCUCUGCUUUUUCAAAAGGUGAUGCUCUAUCUCUCUUACAAAGAAUUUUUCUAGGUUUAUACUUCUUCAUUUGAGGUGCUUCUUGGUUUCUCAGUUAUUUUUACUUUCUUCUUCUGCUAUCUUCCUUUCUUAUUCAAUAUUUUUCUGUUUUAAAGAGGACAUUUUCUUUGGGUUUACGUAGUUCCCUACUUUUUAAGGUACUUCUUCUUCUUCUUCUUUUUUGGGAUAAAACUUAAAUUUUUGGUCUAAUUUGGUAAAUGGAUCUUUUACGCUAAUAGUUGCUGCUGAGUGUUGGUAAAUGGGUGUGCAUGGGUUUUUCUUUUGGGUGAAUGCUCAGGUAAUUGUGAUUACAAUUUGGUGAAUAUUUGGUACUUUCCUCUUCUUUUGAUGAAGUAAUAGUAGAUUCCAUUACUUUCCUCUCUUUUGAAUAAUUUUCUUCUAGAAUUUUACAUGUAUGUCAGUAAUAGUAUGCUAUUUGCACAUGCAUUAUGUCUUUCUGGUGAAAUUUGUCUUUUCCCUGCACAUAUUCUUACUAAUUUUACCGAACAACAAAAAUUGAAUCUUUUUCGACGUGGAAAAUAGUACCUUGAAAAUUCAAAACAAACUUGAACAAUAGAGUCUCCAUGGCAGAAAUUCACCGAAUAGACGCAUCAAUAUUCUUUAAUUAUUUUUAUAACAAAGGAAAAAAGUAAGAAAUGGCAGUAAAGACAGACAAAAAGAAGACAAUUUGGCAGAAGUUGACUACACAAAAAUUUCAAUCUUACCUAUAUUCUGACAAGAAAAACAAAGAUUUUGGAAGUCGGCUAUGCACCUAUGGUAUUUGAUGGUUUGCCCGACUCAUCUUGGUUCUAAUUAUGGUGCUAUCCAUUUUGUCCUGAAAGUUUUAUUAUUCGGGACAAUAAUUUACCAAGUUGUUGUAUGCUUAUUCAUAAGAAUGAUUUGAUGCAGGAUACUAAAGCAUUUUAUAGUGGUGGUGAUCAAUCAUUAAAAAGUAGGAAGGAUGAUUAUACUGGUUAUGACAGUUUUUUAUUGCCUUAAUGUUUUAGAUUUACAGGUAAAAUAAUUGUCACUUUCUUUUAAGUUAUUCAAACAAGUUUUGCCUUAUAGAAUCAGUUGAUCAUCUUUGGUAGAUAUUUACAUCUUCUUGGCUUCGAAUUUCAUCUUUGUUUGGUAUAUGAGAACUUUUCUUCUGCAUAUGAAAUAUUAGUAUUUCACUGAUCUCCCUGUAGCCUUGGUAUGAUUGAGAAUAUGGUUGCAUUCUUGUGUUUACUAAGCAGGAAUUUUUGAUGUCUUUUUUUUAUAUAUUUGUUUGCCUAAAAUUAUUGGUUUGGUAAUGGCUAGAAAGGAAUGCAUCAUUUUCUUCAACUUUUGGUUAUGUGAUUUCUUCUCCUCUUUGUUAUCACAUAUGAAACUCAGUGUUGAUUUAUUAGUAGGGUGAAAACUUUUGUGUCUCUAUAACUGCAAUAUUAGCAAAGUCGCAUAUAUAAGUGAUUUUCUUACAUUUGUUAACUAUAGGAAGUAGAAUUUACAAUCUGAUGGUUACCUAGAUGCAGUAAAGUAUUAUUAUAACUUUAAACAUGAGACAUGGCUCUAGAGAUGAACACAAAAAGCAAUAUUUAUCUCGUUCUAAUCAUCAUAGAGUGAUUGAAUCUUAAUAGAAAUUUUUGGUUGAAAGGGAAACUAGGUGAUUGCUCAAAAGCUCUUCUUAGAAUAUGGUGCAGGUAAAACUGCAAAGAGUCAGUCUAAUUCUUAUUUAUGAGAAAAGUCAACAGAUGAUUAAAUUUUUGAAAGCCGAAAGUUAUCAGUAUGAGCCACAUGUGUUUAACAAUCCAAACUCCAAAGAGAAAGAUGGAUCGGUGGUGUAAAAAUAAGUAGGAGUCAUAAAAGGCAAGACACGUGUUAUACAUAGUACAAAUGUCUUUAUGAUAAUGAAAGGAGCAAAAUUACCAAUUUAUCCCUAGAAAUACUUGCAAUACAGCAGAUAGUACAACUUUUGUAGCUGUGUCGUACUCCUCCUUCUCAUUUAUAUAUAAUUGUAAUUACGUAUUUACCCUUGGUUGUCCAAAAACCUUCACUUAUUAAUAGGUUAAAAAGCAAUCUGUUCUUUGUUUUUAUUAGUAAUAUGAAGUGUUAAAAAUAAGACUAAAGAUUAAUGAGAAGAUAAAUGAAGGUAAAAAUGAGACGUUAUAGUGUAGAAUGAGGUAUCCUGCAUAAUUUCUUAAAGUAAUUGAAUGCUUGUGCAAAUGCAGAUUUUAAUGCGACUAGAGUAUUAUUCUACUGAAGGAGGAGUUAAUUACAGAACAGAAUUUUGCUUCGUAGUUAAAAUAUGCCAGUAGAAAAGAGUUGGUGCAGAUGAAGAAGUGAUUGGCCUUACUGCUUUCUUGUGGAAAUUGUUUAUUACUUUUCCAUGUUGCUAAAUAUGGUGUAUGCACAUUUUCAUAUUUCGUAUAGUUCUUGUGAAAGUUGUUUGCAUUAUUUUGUGGAAAAUUAAUAAACAUAAGUUCAUUGUGAAACUAAAUUGUGGUAUCUGAGGUGUUGACUUCUUUAUUACAUUUAAUUAAAAUUUCUUCUUAUAUGUUUUAGUUUUCAUAUUAAAUAGCCUUGAGGACCUAGCUACUUUUGCAUGUAGAAUUUAUAUUUUCUAAAAUUAUAACCUUCUCUUACAUCAUUCAUUAGCUUUGGUAUGAAAUGACCUUGAGGAAUGUUUAUGACCUGAUUUAAUUUAGUUCUUCUGAUUUUACAUAUAGAAGUCAUAUAGUGCUUUAGAAAAUUGAAGGUUUUAAAGGAUUUAUCUUUGUUUUAAUUUCUUGCAGCCUGAAGACCAUAACUCUAGGGGAUAAAAGGAUUAGGAAUGAAACAAGUGUCCUUCAGGAGGAUGAGACGAGACAAUUUUUAAUAUGCUUCGCAUUGCUGCAAAGCUGAUGACUUGAAUAAGGCUUAUACCAUGAAUCAACCAGGUUGGUGUUUUAAUUUUUUUCAUAUUUCAUAUAUGCUAUUAAUUUUAUCUUUAUCCUUGAUGUUGAGUUGAACAAGUUAUGUUAAUGCUUGAAGCAGGUUGCUCAGACAUUAGUUCCAUUUUUGAAGGUAUGUUUCCAUGACGAGUUAGGGAAGUUGGGGUUUCACAUGUAUAUCUAUUGAAUCUAUUUCAUUUUUCUUUGAUUUUUUAUUUUUCUAUAAUUUUUCCACUAUGAAUGUGAUAUAGCGGUUUAAAAUCGUGCCUGAGCUGUUACAUAUGCCAAACUGAAUGCAAGAGGAGGACUUGUGCAUAGCAAACAUGAAACUUACAUCAAGCAGUUUGGGCAGCUCGAUAGGAAUCAGAGGAGUACAACUCCUCCCGACUCAACUUGAACAUUCAAUCAAGUUAAUUCAACUAUGUUACUGAAUCUAAAGUGAUGACUCUAUAUUAAAGAACCUUGAUGUUGUCACGUGUUUCAAUAACAAGAUGAAUAACCCCCUUAUUUCUAGGGAAGUGAAGCCAAAUAGAACCUGACAAAAUGUAGUUGAAGCAAGUUUGCUAAGAUUAUUACUUUACCCCCGCUACUUAAAAAUUUUGUUGGGGAAGUUAAAGACUAAAUAUGUGCAGAACUCAAAGGUUUAGUUAAAAAAUUUAAAAUGGUGGUUGAACUUGAUUUUAUUUUUGGAUAAGGCACUGGUGAACUUGAUUACUCGAAAUAAAGGAUACUUACAGUGCUCUACUUGAAACGCAAGGUCUAAUGCUACUGGAAAAAAAAAAGAUAGAAGAGGACUUUAAGUUUUCACCAUAUGAGUCUUGUGCAUUCACUAUGAUUUUAGGUGUUCAUGACUUAUAUAGUGACAUGUCCUUCUAUUUAAUGAUGGGAGAGAAAUUUACUUCACACAAAAGAAGUAUACCGUUUAGUAUUUACUGAUAUCUAAAUCCUUAAUGUAUGUGUGUUUCAUCACAUACCAUCAUCUGCUUAUGUAACAUUUUGUGAUGAAUUGUCAAUUUACUUACAUAUCAGGAUAGAAUAUAUUCUUUUAAUGUCAGUGCGACCAACAAAGAAGUCAGACAUUCAGUUUCGCCAUUAUCACUUGAAGAUGCAGACAUGCAGCAGAACCGUAAGUGAGUACUUACAAAGUCCAAGGAGCAAUACACAAUUGCAUCUGGUGAAAAAAUAACUAAAUAACUAAUUAGUGCAUCAAAUGAUUCUUAAGUAUUGAUGCGAAUGCGAUUGCAAGGCCUUUUUGAUGAUGUCAAGUCCUGGAAAUAUCCUUGCAUCAGCAUGAGUUGUGGGCGGUCUUGGAAAUGCCAGACUCUUUGUUCUUUGUUCUAUACUACAGUAUUGUUGCUCAUUAGGUUCUUAAGAAUCUUAUAAGUUAUGGUGUUCAUCCUAACUGGUGAAAUCUGAGUCGUGUACAAAUAGUAAUUUAUUGUACAAUUUUAGCAAGUGUAUAAGGUAAUACCUAUACUAUAUCGUCGCCCGUGCUAUGCACGGGCAUUCGUUUCUAGUCUAUUCAAUUAUUGUAACGACCCGGAUGGUCGUUUUGCACAAUUGCGUCCAAUUCGGCCGUUUAAGGUCUUGAGUAGU
rnacentral:lncRNA from 1 species